rnacentral:lncRNA from 1 species
GAUGUUUGCAGACCCGGCACAGCCUCAUGUACGCUCUGCCACCGUGGUUUUUAAAAGCAAGGUGACUGACAGAUUCUGCAGAUUCAUUGAGUAGUAAACCAAACGAACAUAUGACGAGAUUAUUUCUUUCUCUUCUGCUGCAGCGAGGUAUAAUAACAUCAGGGACCGGAUUACAUGAAGAAGUCCGUUGUGACAACUACGCAAAUCCUUUGGCUGAAAUAGCACAACAUGAUGCAGAAGACAGUGGUGAGUCAAAUAUAAUAACUCACACAGUCUGGAACAGAAGCUAGAGAGCGUGUGAUUGGAGAAGGGCUGUGUAUCAGUCACUGAUAUUUACACAUGUGAAGCAGGAGUCCAUUAGUGUAAAUGAAGAGUUCAUGAGUUAACGAGAGAAUCUUUGUCACGGCUUCUGUUCUGGCUUCAAUCUGACCUAUUGAUCAGCACUGAUAACUGUUUGCUUGAGCGAUUAUGAUGUGUUUGUGUGUGCAGCAGUGAAAGUGGCUCCUCCUGAGACAGUGGAAGUUCACGGGAUCAAUGUUUCUUGGAUUUUUGUUCCUUCAAAAAAAUAUUUAAAGCCUGAGUUUGGGGUCCAGUACAGAUCUGCUGCUCAGAGCUGGAAGGAUGUGGAAAAUUUUACCGUAAAUACUACAGAAACUCAAUUGGAGCUGCCAGAGGACCAUUUGCUGUUAAAUCAGCAGUACGUGAUCAGGGUGAGAGUCAAGUAUCAAGAGAGUAAACUGCCCAAUGCUGUGUGGAGCGACUGGAGUGAAGAGUACAGGUGGACAUCUGCUGUGGGUCAGACGCCCCACACACCAGGUAACACGCACACACACACACACACAUGCACGCACGCACGCACACACACACAGACACACACACACACACACACACGCACA